UACGUAGGCAGCGAGCGUUGUUCGGAGUUACUGGGCGUAAAGAGUGCGUAGGCGGUUUUCUAAGUUUGGUGUGAAAUCUCCCGGCUUAACUGGGAGGGUGCGCCGAAAACUGGAAGGCUUGAGUAUGGGAGAGGUAAGCGGAAUUCCUGGUGUAGCGGUGAAAUGCGUAGAUAUCGGGAGGAACACCAGUGGCGAAAGCGGCCGGCUGGGCCUGUUCUGACGCUGAGGCGCGAAAGCGUGGGGAGCGAACCGG
rnacentral:rRNA from 1 species